rnacentral:lncRNA from 1 species
ACGUGAAAAGGGAGGGAGAGCGGCUCGGAAGGAGGCAACAGGCUUCCCGGAGGGGACCUGUAAUUUCAAGAGCUUUUCUGGAAAAUUAAGUACGAAAAGGGGGAGAGGGUGUCGUUGGCUCUUCAAGCCCACUCUCCACUUGCUUAAAAAAAAAGAAAAGAAAAGAAAAGAAAAAGAAAAAGAAAAGUGGAGAGUGGGUAGGGCGGAACAGGAAAAAAAAAAAGAAAAAGAAAAGAAAAGAAACCCACAACUUACAGCGGUGAAGUAUUUUUCUAGCCUGGCUAGGAAAGGGAAAAGAAGGAGGUUGGGGGUGGAGGCAGUGGGAGCAAGAAGAGGGUAGGAGUCUGCCCGCGCCGCCAGGUGCACCCCGGCCCGCACGUACCUGCUGGCCGCCGCCACCGCUGGAGUAGGACUCGGCGUGCGCAGGAGAGCCGCUGCUGCCCCGGGACGAGGUGUCAAAGUUCCCGGGAUAAUCCUGGUACAUGAUCCGCGGUGGGGGCCGGAGAGGAAACAGGGUGGUUUUCUUCCCCGCCCUCGCCGCGGCCGCGCACAGUCUGCUGCGCGCUCGCUGGUCCACCGGCCCGGCCACGGGCUGGGCUUUUCGCUCCCGGGAUGUCCCCUAACCAAGGCAGACAGGAGGCAGCGACACUCGGGAAGUGACCCCCCCGAUCGCCGCGCACCGCACUUCGUUUCUGCUCUGCAAGCUCCGCGGAACCGGUUGUCCACCGAGUCCCUCCCUCUAAAAAGUCGGCGCGUCCCUCGGUCCCUCCCCUGCGCGCGCCCUUCCGCCCCCGCGCGCAGCCGGAGCUCUGCCGGGACCCACGGGCUGGAGAAAAAUGGGCAACGCAAAAAGACUAGGAGCCCCGCGGGUGUCGCUUGGCAGCUCUGGGGGACUCCCUCCCCGAUCUCUCAGGGCGCCAAAAAGGCGAAAAAGAAAAGCUGCCGGUUGGGAGAAACUUCUGUUUCCUCCUUUUAGAAAAGGAGCCCGAGAAUAAACUUCCUGUGGCCAACUCGC